rnacentral:rRNA from 1 species
GACGAACGCUGGCGGCGUGCUUAACACAUGCAAGUCGAACGGAAAGGUCCUGCUUUUGUGGGGUGCUCGAGUGGCGCACGGGUGAGUAACACGUGAGUAACCUGCCCUUGACUUUGGGAUAACUUCAGGAAACUGCGGCUAAUACCGGAUAGGAGCUCCUGCUGCAUGGUGGGGGUUGGAAAGUUUCGGCGGUUGGGGCUGGACUCGCGGCUUAUCAGCUUGUUGGUGGGGUAGUGGCUUACCCAGGCUUUGACGGGUAGCCGGCCUGAGAGGGUGACCGGCCACAUUGGGACUGAGAGGCGGCCCAGACGCCUACGGGAGGCAGCAGGGGGGAAGAUUGCACAAUGGGCGGAAGCCUGAUGCAGCAGCGCCGCGUGCGGGAAGACGGCCUUCGUGUUGUAAACCGCUUUCGCCUGUGACGAAGCGUGAGUGACGGUAAUGGGUAAAGAAGCACCGGCUAACUACGUG